GUCGGGAUAGCUCAGCUGGUAAAGCAAAGGACUGAAAAUUCCCGUGUUCCCAGUUCAAAU
rnacentral:tRNA from 1 species